CAAUUAAAUCGGUGAGAAAUACACUCGAUGUAAAACAACGUUAUUAACAUCGAUUCCUCAAAAACCGAUUUGUAUGCAUAUAACUGACAUCGGUUUUGAAAUUAGCCAGUGACAAAACUUUCAUUUGAAUUUUCAGAAAAACGGGGAGCGGCUAAGUUAAAAAAUUUUAAAGAGGCGCGAGAGAGGAAAAGCUCAUUCUCACACUUAGACAUAUUUGGACUGACUUCAGCUUGCCCUAACACUAUUCGACCAAACCUCCCUUUCCUCCUUCGUUCUCCUCCUUCGACCAAACCUCCCUUUCCUCCUUCGUUCUCCUCCUCCGACCACAACCCUCCUCCUCGUCUUCGAUCUCCGGCUACAAUCACAACCCGACCCUCCUCGUCGUCCUCCUUUUCCGCCUCGGACCAACUCCUCUGCUCGAAGACGGUGAAGAGAAUCAGCCUCUUCGUUCUCCGCCUCCGACAAAAAUCAUCUUCCUUUUCAUUCUCCGCCUCCGACCACAACCCUCCUCCUUGUCUUCGUUCUCCGGCUACAAUCACAACCCGACCCGCCUCGUCCUCCUCUUUUUCUGCCUCAGACCAGCUUCUCUGCUCAAAGACGGUGAAGAGAAUCAGAGAUCGAGGCCGGCCUUUUGGAGAAAAUUUGAGCUUUUUGUCAUAGGAUUUGUGUUUCAUCUACCGAAGCUUUGUGGGCUGCAUUCGAGUUUUCUGGGCAUUCAUGUUAUGAGCUUUCUGGGCAUUCUCCAUAUCUGAGGAGACUUCAAACUGUGUUAUCUAGUCAUGAAGGUUUCUUUAGCUUGGAAGUUUUAAGCUUGGGCCAACAAGUGAAAACAGUAACUACUCAUUCUGCUUGUUACUUCAUUGUAAUCAAUUCAUGGUUUCUGAUGUUGCAACUGUUUGUGUGUGUGUGUGUGUCAUUGUGGCAAUAUGUAUGUGUGUGUGUCUUUUUACGCCGAGUUUAUGCACCUCCCGAGGAAGAGGUUCACUGAUUUUGCUGCUGUUAGACAGGAGAUAUCUGAUGAGACUGAUAGAGAGACCGGCAGGACCAAGGCGAUUUCGAGUGUGCCAAUCCAUCUUAGCAUCUACUCCCCUAAUGUUGUGAACUUGGCACUAAUAGAUCUUCCUGGACUCACAAAGGUAGCUGUAGGGUGAGUUACAUUCCUUAAGACCUUUGCAAACGCUAUCAUUGUCAAGCUCUCUGGGCACCUUACAGGAAUUAAACUAACGUUGUGUUAAUUUGGUGGUCUUGUAGAGGGUCAGGCAAAGAGCAUAGUGGAGGACAUUGAGAACAUGGUUAGGGGCUUCAUUGAGAAGCCCAACUGUAUCAUUAUGGCUAUUUCCCCUGCCAACCAAGAUCUUGCUACGUCUGAUGCAAUUAAGAUCUCUUGUGAAGUAGAUCCCAAAGGUGAGAGGACAUUUGGAGUUCUCACAAAGAUUGAUCUUAUGGACCAAGAUUUUGGAAGGAAGAUCAUAUAGACUUCAGUUCCCUUGGAUUGGUGUUGUGAAUCGCUCCCAAGCUGAUAUAAACAAGAGUGUUGAUAUGAUUGCUGCUAGGCGCAGGGAGCGUGAAUAUUUUGCUAAUAGCCCCGAGUAGAAGCAUCUUGCAAGCAAGAUGGGAUCUGAGCAUUUAGGAAGUGGGCAGCAAAGACUCGAAAAUGAUACACC